rfam:Triticum aestivum genome assembly, contig: Triticum_aestivum_CS42_TGACv1_scaffold_675994_T_7BS-0.033923_5BL-0.023310
GUAGUAUUCCCUCCGUCCCAAAAUUCUUGUCUUACAUUUGUUUAGAUACAGAUGUAUCUAACACUAAAAUGUAACUAGAUACAUCCAUAUUUAGACAAAUUUAAGACAAGAAUUUUGGGAUGGAGGGAGUACAAA